UACGUAGGGUGCGAGCGUUGUCCGGAAUUACUGGGCGUAAAGAGCUCGUAGGUGGUUUGUCGCGUUGUUCGUGAAAACUCACAGCUUAACUGUGGGCGUGCGGGCGAUACGGGCAGACUGGAGUACUGCAGGGGAGACUGGAAUUCCUGGUGUAGCGGUGGAAUGCGCAGAUAUCAGGAGGAACACCGGUGGCGAAGGCGGGUCUCUGGGCAGUAACUGACGUUGAGGAGCGAAAGCGUGGGGAGCGAACAGG
rnacentral:rRNA from 1 species